rnacentral:RNase_P_RNA from 2 species
ACAGGUCGAAAGCCGCGUUUGCUCGCCACGUCCAGGUUGACCGUGUUCGACCUCUCUCGCGAGCGGGCCAAGGUCUGAGCAUUCUAGUCCCUCUGUGCUCGCGUCUAGCUGGCGCCAACGGUAACUCGUUGAGCAGAGCAUCAGACAUGCGUUCGUUGCGUGUUGUACCGCCCAGAGAUCCGCAAGGGGAGGGCAUGCGCGCUUCGAACUUGGAACAACUCUGCAGGGGUCGGGUCACCCUCGAGCCUUGAUCUUUCCUACCCAUGCGCUAUCAUAGCGCACUCUCCGCUGUUCACUUUCUUAGGAUGUUGCCAUCGCACGGUUUUACUUCCAUAGCUAGAGGCGGAGAUGACAUACAUGAAGAGGNNNNNNNNNNCUUUGGACCCCGCGGUGCCCUGGUGUGCGUGACACGGCGUGGUUAUUGUGCUUUUCAUCUGGCAACUCAUUCGCUGGUAUCUGUACGAGCCCCAGUUGUUCCACCCGGCCGUGGCAGAUGCAGACAAGCUCUCGCUUGACUUCCUGCACCACUCUUUUCUGGGUAAUUGAGGAUCUUCGCGGGCGCUGUGAGGUGGCCCUUGAGUUCACUUUGCGGCUCGCGCUUUUUCAGUGCGAAACUCGAUUCAGACUACUCUUGGUCUGU